GCCAGUUUGGCUCAAAGGAUAGAGCGUCAGCCUGUGGACUGAAGGGUCCCGGGUUCGAUUCCCGUCAAGGGCA
rfam:Myotis brandtii contig317367, whole genome shotgun sequence.